UCACACUUUUGUGGAAAGAGAAAUCGAUCGCUCUCUUCGAAAAAUGUGCCGUUUUUUCAUGUGAAUUACGAGCAAUAACUGUGAAAUUAGCGAAACGGGACUAUUAGUUUGCAAAACAAGGCCCAUGUCAAUGGUCAAUUCAUAAGAUGUCGUAAACUGUUCUUUUAUUGAAAAAUAUUGUAUUUGGUUGCUGAUUAAGAUGAUAAAGAGCGCGAAGAACGUGUGCCGGACUUGCAUGGAUGAGACCGGCACCCUGGUAGACAUAUUCGCAAAUGUCCGGGAUCCUGUGCUCGACGAGCCGGAGAUGAGCCUCUCGCACAUCUUGGCCAGGUGCACCGACCGUCCAGUGAAACGCGGCGACCUGCUGCCGCAGUUCAUCUGCGUGUCCUGCGUCGUAGCCGUCCAGAAUGCUUUCCGGUUCAAAUGGCAGAGCGAGCAGAGCUACCAACACUUCCUCCGCGUCCUAAACCAGUCGAGUGCUCCGGAAAACCAAGUGCAGUUAGCUGCUAGUAAUGGGGAUGGGAAUCAAACCCAGAAUAUGCUGCUCAAGAGCGAUCGCCAACAGGAUAAGCAUCAAAUGGGAAAAACGCAGCAAUCAGAAGAUGAUCUAAGUCAAAAACAAACACUCCAAACAGAGCUCCAAGAGAAAAAUGAAGAUGGGCCACCGGAGCCCUUCACCCCGCAACGUCGCAAGCGGACUUGUCGCACUGAAGAACAGCAAGACAUAAUCCCAAAGGAAUCUCCAAGAAGUACCAAAAUGAUGAUACCACAGGUGCGCUGCGAUGCCGAUGGCUACUACAACUGCCCGCAGUGCUCUAAGAGGUUUUGUUCCCAGACCAAGUUAAGGACCCACAUCAGCGAUCAGUGCAACAGGUGUCCCUACUGCCCAUGCUCAUAUAUGCACAAAGCGAAUCUGAAGCGGCAUUUACAAAACCACCUAAGCAAGCCAGAGCACAAGUGCGGCCACUGCUCGAAGGCUUUCGUGCGAAAAGAUCACCUUAAAAGGCACCUGCGCACCCACGACAGUGACGGUCCGCUCUCCUGCAGCCAGUGCUCGGCGGUAUUCAUCGAGUACGCUCAGCUGGAAAUCCAUCGCAGAGAGCACAAACAAGGGCCGGGCCCUUCAAAAUCCGAGUCCACAAAGGAACCUGACUCGGAGGACAGCGAUCAAGCGGAGGAUCUGAACCCAAAGUGCACUAAGAACACCUUCAAUGGCACGUCCAGCAGUCCAACUAUGCUUAAGCCAAUUGUCGACGAUAGCCAUUUCGCCAAAGAAAAUUUGAAUAAUCACAAUAUUCUUACCACACUAGGGUUGCGCGGCAGGGAGCUCAAGAAACGUGAUGAAGUCCUUCCUGGUACCACUAAGGAUGAAGGUGACCGCAAAAAAGACGAUAAUAGAAAGGUUUACUAGUAGAAGGAAAUAAUAAUCCGCCCGUCUGCGUGUCCGUAAGAACACCGUGAUCCCGGUAAAUAUAGGAGCAAAAUCCCUAAGAUUUAGUGAAAUUUUAAAAAAGAAAUCCCUCGCACUUUCACUAGCUGAGAAACCGAAAUGCGAUCUUUGCCUAAAGAAGUUCAGUCGUGUCUACGCCCUGAAGCGGCAUAUGCUUACUCACAA
rnacentral:misc_RNA from 1 species